CAUGGAUUGUGGUGGAAAGCUUUUGCGGUGUGGGGAUGGGGCCCGCGGCCUAUCAGCUUGUUGGUGGGGUGAUGGCCUACCAAGGCGACGACGGGGUAGCCGGCCUGAGAGGGGUGUCCGGCCACACUGGGACUGAGAUACGGCCCAGACUCCUACGGGGAGGCAGCAGUGGGGAAUAUUGCACAAUGGGGCGCAAGCCUGAUGCAGCGACGCCGCGUGGGGGAUGACGGCCUUCGGGUUGUAAACCUCUUUCAGCAGGGACGAAGGGUGACUGACGGUACCUGUAGAAGAAGCACCGGCCAACUACGUGCCAGCAGCCGCGGUAAUACGUAGGGUGCGAGCGUUGUCCGGAAUUACUGGGCGUAAAGAGCUCGUAGGUGGUUUGUCGCGUUGUUCGUGAAAACUCACAGCUUAACUGUGGGCGUGCGGGCGAUACGGGCAGACUGGAGUACUGCAGGGGAGACUGGAAUUCCUGGUGUAGCGGUGGAAUGCGCAGAUAUCAGGAGGAACACCGGUGGCGAAGGCG
rnacentral:rRNA from 1 species